rnacentral:rRNA from 1 species
UGGGGAAUAUUGCGCAAUGGGCGAAAGCCUGACGCAGCAACGCCGCGUGAGUGAUGAAGGCCUUCGGGUCGUAAAGCUCUGUCGGAGGGAACGAAUGCUCCUGAAGUUAACAGCCUCAGGAGGUGACGGUACCCUCAAAGGAAGCACCGGCUAACUUCGUGCCAGCAGCCGCGGUAAUACGAAGGGAGCUAGCGUUGUUCGGAAUCACUGGGCGUAAAGCGCACGUAGGCGGAUAGUUAAGUCAGGGGUGAAAUCCUGGGGCUCAACCCCAGAACUGCCUUUGAUACUGGCUGUCUCGAGGUCGAGAGAGGUUGGUGGAAUUCCUAGUGUAGAGGUGAAAUUCGUAGAUAUUAGGAAGAACACCAGUGGCGAAGGCGGCCAACUGGCUCGAUACUGACGCUGAGGUGCGAAAGCGUGGGGAGCAAACAGGAUUAGAUACCCAUGUAGUCCCUGAGCGGGCUGGCAAGGCGCAU